rnacentral:lncRNA from 1 species
AAAAAAAACUAGGUUACUCUUCAAGUUCAAAAGUGGGAAAUGUUAGUUUUUAUCCCUUUUAAUCAAUUAAUCCCAUUAAUUAAUAUUGACAAAUGUUAGUCCUUCUUCAUGGAUAUAUAUAUAAUAUUAUUGGAAAUAAUUUUUUUUUUCUUUUGAAUUAAGUGGUUAGAUUUAUUUAAAUAAAAAACAAACCAAGUUUAAACAAAAAGGACUAAUAUAAAUUAACGUAGAUGAUUAGAUAGUCAAAUUCUUAGGAAACCAUGAACUCUUUGAAUUUGCUCUUAUGAAUGGACUUUAGGAUUCAAGUACCAUCCAUUUACUUUAAAAGGAGAUUAGCUUUUUGAAAGCAAAUCAUGAAUAUCGUUUUCAUUUCCAAGUAUAUCAAGUUGCAAUAUAUAAAAUUUCAAAGUCUUAUCAUACCUCAACAAAACGUCAUGUUCUGUCAAUUUUUGGUCUAAUGCUUUUGGAAUUACUCUUUCAUUGGUAUCUUAACAAGUUGCAUAUGCUUGGGUUGGACCUUUGUGAACAUGACCUUGCAAAUGGAUUGAAUUUUUGUUAGAAACAAGUCUCUCACUCUCCAAAGCGGUCCCCUCUCCAUUGCAUAACUUAUUAGCAAAAUCCUUCAAAUUUUGUACUAUAUACAUACACACUCAUUUAUUGGGUUCUUUUAAAAUAGGUAUAUCAUAUUUUAAAAGUAUAUGGUUAAUUUGUUGUGUUGAAUAAAAUACAAAGAAAAUAAGUGUAGACCCCCAUUUGGGGCUCGUUUUUCAGCAACUCAAUUUUGCCAAGUGCCACUAUCCCGGGUGGCCACAUGUCGCCUCCUGGUUGGUUGCUGUGGAAUCAGCUUAGUGGAGUUGAUGGACGAAUGAGAAAGCGACACCUGUUGGAGAAUAUUCAUAAGAGCUUUUGGGCUGUUAGAGUGGAGUUUGGAUGAUUUUUUUUGAAGCGUGAGGGGGACCCCCCUCUCUUACCAUGAAUCCCGGCCAGAUGGGACAAGCAACCAGGAAGUUGAGGGCUUGAUUGCCGGCGGCAACAGACGUGCAGCAGCAAAGGGAGUGGUUGGUCAAACCAUGCUUGCUAACCAGUGAACAGGGGUAAGAAGGGAAAGAGUAAGGGGGGACACAAGAAAAAAGGAAAGCAAGAAGAGGAAGAACAGAAAGAGGGGACAGCAUUGUAGAGAGAGAAAAGGAGUAUGGGUGGAACUUGAAGAGAAAGCUAAGAACAAAGGAACGUAGAGUUGCUGAGAGGAGUCCAGGACAUAGAGCUGAGAAGAGAGAUUUCCAGGUAUGACCAUUUGUUUUUUUUUGUAUAUUUUCUUUUUUUUUUUUUCAGAUUGUCUAGAUUUAAUUCUCAGUGAUUUUUCAUUUCUACUUGUUGGGUUGUUCUGUUUUGGUGAUUACUGAUUAAAUAUUGGAAGAGUUUGCUAUGUUUUAUGCCCUCUUCUGACGAGUAUUUUUCCAUCUUAACUCACUGGAUGUUGGACCCAUGGACGAAAUGAUGAAAUGGGUCCGAUACGCCGGUUAAAGUCUUCAUGUUCUUCUUCUUGUUGCUAUCCUAUUAUCUCCUUGUUUUCUUUUCUUCCCUGAGUGCAUACUCAAGGCUCCCAAGUCUCAGUUGCUUUCCGUGAAGCUUCAAGCCAUGGCCUCAUUGUGGCUAGAAUCUGGGUUUUCAGUGAUGAUGAGAAUGGGUUUUUUCGGUUUUCUCCAAGCUUUCACAGUCAGCAAAUACCCAAGGUUGCAUACUACCAGGCAUAUUCGUCAGCUAGACGUGGAAGCGCAUCUGCUGGUGGCCUGCCCAUUGUGUUUAUGUCCAGGCACAUGUCUUCACUCUGCAUGACCCCUGUCUCUAUUCUCAUGCAGGUGUGUCGUCAUCUCAUCCCCAUGUUUUUUUUCCUUAUCCACCAUACCCAUCGUUUAUCUAUCCACUUCUCUCUCUCUCUAGGUCGUCAUACCCAUUUCCUCACUCAAGCUUGCAGGAAUCAAGCAUCCUCCACCACACCCAUUUUCCUCUCAUUCAUUAUCUGAAUGUAUCACAUCCAGAAUCCUGUCCGACUGACAUUCCACCUUAUCCGGAUGCCUCACAUCCGGAAUCCUGUCCGCUGACAUUCUAUCUUCUUCGGAUGCCUCACAUCCGGAAUCCUGUUCGGCCGACAUUCCACCUCCUCUGGAUGCCUCACAUCCGGAAUCCUGUCCGGUCAACAUUCCACCUCCUCCGGAUGUCUCACAUCUGGAAUCCUGUCCGCCGACAAUCCAUCUUAUCCGAAUGCCUCACAUCCGGAAUUCUGUCCUGCGCCAUCCCACCUUCUCCGGAUGUCUCUCAUCCGGAAUCUGUCUGCCGACAUUCCGCCUUAUUCGGAUACCUCACAUCCGGGAUCUAUUCGGCGCCAUCCCACCUUCUUCGGAUGUCUCUCAUCCGGAAUCUGUCCGCCGCCAUUCCCACCUUCUCCGGAUGUCUCUCAUCAGGAAUUUGUCCGCCUACAUUCCGCCUUAUCCGGAUCUCUCACAUCCGGGAUCUGUCCGACACCAUCCCAUCUUCUCCGGAUGUCUCUCAUCCGGAAUUUGUCCGCCGACAUCCCGCCUUCUCCGGAUGUCUCACAUCUGGAAUUCUGUCCGGCCGACGUUCCACCUUCUCUAGAUAUCUCGCAUCCGACGCCUGAUGCCGGAUGGGAGAGGAAGGCGAUUCAACUUCCCCCGUCAAACAUGUCUGGAUCCUUGUUUUAUAACUUCUUUUUUUAAACCAUUUCAAAGCAUCCUAUCUUUCAUCCUUAGAGUUUUUAAGAUUACCCAAGAGUCCCAUUUGCAAUAAAAUUUUGCUGCCAUCUUUCUUUCCGGCAAGCAAUUUUCACAACUCUUCUGUUUUUUUUUUAAAUGUUUUAAAAUAAGCAUAGAUUCAAUCAUGUAAUUCCGAAUAAUGGAGUUUAUGGAAUUAAUUCAUGCAAAAAUAAACGGGCUUUGGUGGGGGUCCCACAUAAGUGACUUUAUAAUUGAUUGAUUGAUUGAUUAAUUUAAUUGUCAUGCAUGAUUGAUCUUAUUCUUCUAUAUGACAUACUUGAAAUUAUUCCUUAAUUGUACACUAACCUCUCUCUUGAUAGUGCAUGGUGGCUCGUUGCCCAGGUACGCACCUACUUUCACUUUGGUAAUUGUCUAAGCAUAUUUUGAUUUUCACGUGUGCAUGAUUUAUUCUGGGUACUCAUUGAUUUACUCGUCCAUUGUCAUGAUCGCUUCAUUUUAUUAGUAAAGACCCGACUUUAGGGACUUAGAGGGGUGCUACGGUUUUUACCGUACCUUCCCGAUAAGUAACCUGACCCCCGAACCCGAUCCAGUUUUUCGUAGACCACCUUUUCCAAAAUAAGAAGUCACACUUAGGGUUUUUCUUUCUUAUUUUGUUUACCCUUUUAAAAAUAAAACAAAAAUAAGUGGCGACUCUAAGUCAUUUUUCUUAAUCAAUAAAAAUCAAUUUUCCAAAAUCAAAAGCGAGUUUCGCCAUCGAGUGGGAAAUGCAUUGAGCCGAAAUGCGGGGUCCACAAUAAGGUUAUUUGUUUUCGAGAAUAGUUUUUUGUUCUCCAAAAUAAAAAAAUAAAAAAACAUGUUUGAUAAUCAGAAAAUAUUUUUUUGUCUUCUAUUCUUAAGAACAAAAAAUAAGGUGUUUUUAAAUAAUAUCUUUCACUCAUUUUCACUUGUUUUUUAAGAAUUGUUUUAAAAAAUAAUUAUACAAAUAUAUAGAAUGAUUAAAUAUAAAAUACUAAAUAUAAAAUUAUUUUUAAAACAUAUUUAAAAACAUUAUAAAUAUGUUAAAAUAUUUCAAAUUCAUAAAUAGACUUUUAUUCUAUAAAACAUUAUAAAAUAAUUUUCAAAAAUUAUUCUCAAAAACUAUGUUUCAAAACUAUUUUCGAAAAUAGUUACCAAAUAAGAACUAAGAUUCAUAUAUAAAGAAAUUGGACAAACAUAUAAAGAUAUCAAAUGUAAGUGCAAUAAAUUAAGAAAAAAAAAAAGGAAGAAGAAGAAGAAGAAGAACUCGUAUAUAGCAAAAAGUAAAGGAAACCUUUUUUCACAAUGUGAUAUUCAUUAGUAAUUGGUCAACAUUUUUCUUUAUGGCAUCAAAAUGCUAUUUUUUUGGUACCAUAUCAUGACAUUUGAAUUAGAGAGCUACCAGCUAGUUUAUGUUUCAUGACUCGUGUGAGUGUAUAAUUAAUUUUAAAAGCUUGUACAUGCAAAAGUGUUCAAUAUAACCAAUGUACUAACUUAAUUUAAGUUAUCAAAUAUGUACAAUAAAAUAAUUUAAUAGAAUUAUUAAAAAUAAAAAAUAAAAAAUAAAUUACUCUUUCUAAAUCAUUAAAAAUAAAAAAUGGUGCCCACAAUACUUUAACCUCUUGACUUGUCAUCAACCCUCUAUCACAAUAGUCAACUAUUUUAAAUUAUUAAUUCUUUAUUGGAGGUCUAAUUAAUUAUUAAACUAUUAAUUCGAUAUGUUUGUCCCUAAAAAAUAUUAAGAAAAGAAAAAAAGCAUUAAGAAAAUUGGUUAUUUCAUAUUUGGUUUCAUUAUUAAAAAUAUAAAAGAAAAUCAAAUAUAAUUAAAAUUUAUUAAAAUUUUAUAUAUUUUUUAAUUAUUUAAUCUUUAUAUAAUAGAAGAAAAUAAAUAAAAUGAGUUUGAAGAAACAUAUAAAAAUAAUUUAUUAAUUUUAAAUUUAUUUUUUAUUUUUCUUCUAUUUUUCCACUUUAUUUUCUUUUCUUCACAUUUUUCAUAACCAAACAUAGUCUAAGAGAAUUUUUAUUUUUUUUCCUUAUUCACACAACCUUUUGUGUUUUUUUGAAGACUGAAAUUGCUCAAAAUCGACUAGUAAGGAAGAAAUCUCAAAAAGACAUUAAUUGUAAAUCCUUACUUAAUUUCCAAAUCUAAGAAAUGUAUUAAGGAAUAGUAUUCUUAAAUUUCCAACAGGGUUUUUAAUUAAGAUAUUAGAGAAUUAUUAUUAUUAUUAUUAAAUUACAUUAUAUAAUAAUAUACUUACAAGAUCAAUAUUAUCUUAUCUUAAGAACAAAAAGAGAGAGCAACUAAUUACAAAGAUGAGAGCCCUCGGAGUUCUCUCUUAUCACUCCUAGUAUUGUGCUAGUGGCUAAUUUUGAACCUUUGGUCUUUCGUGGGGAGCCACCACGGGCCUAGUGGCAUACUCUCCUCUAAAAUUUUAAAGAACGCCAAUUUGACACAACAAAAAGAUAUUUAAAAAAUAUUUUUAUUUUUAUUUUAAAAUUUAUUUAAUAUUUAUAAAAUUAAUUUUUUUUAAAUGCUAAUUUUUCACUAUAAAACAAAUGUUAACAAAAUAAUUUUUAUUUGAUUUUUUAUUAAAUAUUUUCUUAGCUGUGGGUAGUGUUUAUAUUUUUAGGUUUAAUCCAAUAGUCAUGAAUUUAUAAAUGAUUAUAUAAUUAUUUGAAUUAUAUGCUAUUUAAUAAUUAAAUUUAUUUCAUUUGACUUUGAGAUUUGAGGUUUAAUUGUGUAGUACUUUGAAGGCAAAUUUUAUGAUUUUAAAAAUAAAUUUCUCAAAUGCUUUGAAGGUAAAAAGGAAUGAUUAAGAGCAUUCCAUAGAUGUGAUUUUUUAUUUUUUAUUUUCAUUCUUUUUAAUCAUGUGAUAAUUUAUAUUUCAACUGGAAACUGACUGAAUGUCUGAGUUCACCGCCAGCAAGGGAAUUGAGGGGAGGGAGAGCCAAAUGCUCAGACAAGGAUGGAGUGAUGCCCUUCCGGCGUACCGGUUUACAGAGCCCAUGUAGAAAACGUAAACCCCUUUGGAUUUCCCAUUUCUGAUAUCCAUCUCAGGUGUGGCUGGUUCAGCUCUUCUGUCCUCAUAAACCCGAAAAUAUUCAAGCGUCUAUGCUACAACUACUGCCUUGUCAGGAAUGGGAGGCCCCUGGCUAGCGGUUCCAUGGUCGAAUUUGAGUUUGCCAACAGCUUCAGCUACCCCCUCUCUUUCUCUUCAAUAAGGUUAAUUUUACGAUUUUACUUGAAUUUUAGAAUACAUCGGAUAAUGAAUAUUUUAAAUAUCAAUAAAAUAAAAAUUAUUUUAAAUUUAUAAAUAAAAAUACAUAUAUUAAAAUUAUUUUAUAUAUGUAAUUGAUGUAAAUAUAAUUAAGAAGAAAAAUAUCAAUAAACAAAGAAAUAUCAAUCUUAAUAUAUAAUUUAUUAUUUAUUUAAUUAAAUUAAUUUUAAUUUAUAAAAUAUUAACUUCAUUAUUUUUUUACAUAUUUUAAUAUUUUUUUAAAUAAAUUUACAUUUUAAUAUUUUAAAAUAAAAACAUUCAAAAUUAGGAAGAUAAAUAUAAAAAAAUUAAAAGGGAAGUAAUAGUAAUAUUUAAAAUAAGAUUAAUGAAAUAAUUAUUAUAUAUUUAAUAUUAAAACUAUAUUUUAUUUAAUUUAAAUACAUUUAAUAAUAUAAAAUAAAUAAUUAUGCAUAUGAUUUUUUAAUUUUUAUAUUUUUAUAUUUAAUUAUCAUAUAAAUGAUAUAAAAAGACUUGUUAAGAAAAUUAUAAUGCUGGUUUUUAUACUUUUAUUAAUCAAUUAAAUAAAAUUUAAAAUAAAAUAAUUAAAAUUAAUUUAUUCUUCUAUUUUUUAAUAAUGAAGUUUAAGGUGUUCAGUGUGAACAUUUACUUACAAAAGUGAACUUGGUCUAGUGGUAGCCACACAGGGUUCAAAUCCCCCGCUGCAAGAAAAAUGUGAAGUUUGGCCAGAGUUGGAACCCCUUUCUACAAGAAAAAUGUGAAGGGGCUUGGCCCGCUUAGCUGCAAUAUAGGUGAUAUUUUAGAAAAAUUUUUGAAAAAUGGGUCGACCAAUUAUGUAGAAUGUCGUGUCAGCCCUCACCGAUAUUUUGACGAAAUUUCGCGAUAUUUUAAAUCAUGAUUGUAACACUAUGGCACCAUUGCAACUGUACUACCACAAAGGAAUAAUGUCUUGGGAAAUUUAUUUAUUUUUCUUAUUGUUAUAAAAUGAGAAAACAAAUUGAAUAAAGUACAUAAUUCUCUAGUAUUAACCAUGAAUACCAUAUUAAUUACAUGCUUUGACACAAGAAAUUAUGAGAUCAGGGGUGCUGGUUCUGAGGGCUGGUAGGAGGGGAUGGAGGGUAGUAGUAGGGAAUCCAAGUUCUGGGGUCUUCCCAGUUGAAUGCUGGAGGAGGAGGGUUUAGUGAAGGGAUGUAGGGUGUCCAAGUUUUGGGGUCUCCCAAGUUGAAUGCUGGAGGAGGAGGGUUUAGUGAAGGGAUGUAGGGUGUCCAAGUUUUGGGGUCUCCCAAGUUGAAUGCUGGUGGAGGAGGAGGGGUUAGUGAAGGGAUGUAGGGUGUCCAAGUUUUGGGGUCUCCCAAGUUGAAUGCUGGUGGGGGAGGGGGAGACAGGGAAGGUAUGUGUGGUAUCCACGUUCUGGGGUCUCCCCAGUUGAACGCAGGCGGAGGAGGGGGAGGAAGGGAGAGAGGUGGGGUUGGAGGGAAAGGGAAGGGUAGAGAUGGUGGUGUUUUGAAUGGUAAUGGAGGAAAUGGAAGUGAUGGAAAUGGGGGCAAUGGGGAAAAGGGAAAAGGCAAUGUUGGCAGAGGAGGUAGCCGAGGCAGAGGAGGUAGCCGAGGCAGAGGAGGUAGCUGAGGCAGAGGAGGUAGCUGAGGCAGAGGCGGUAGCUGAGGCAGAGGAGGUAGGGGAGGUAAAGAAGGCCAAGGGAAGCCAAAUGGUGGAAAGCAAGGCAGAAAGAAUUUUGCAGAAUUUAAGUCAUUUGGCAAUUCCUGUGUUUGAUCUCCACAAAUUGUGGUGUUCCUCUUGGAUGGUCUGUAGCUCAAAGCAUUCAAGUUGAAGAUGCAGAGGUUGUCCUGUUUUGAUUUCACCGAGAUGGCAUUAGUCGUCGUCUUCAAGCCAGGAACAUUGCAGGCUGAUGAUGAGCUCCCAAUCAACUUUGCCUGGCAAAGAGUCUGCAUUGUGUGACCUCCUAUGCAGUCAAUUCCAUCAACAGAUGGUAUUUCAAGCUUGUAAACCCCAUGUUUACCAGUAGUUCUAUUGACCGAGAAGUUGAUCUCUUCAUUGGUUCUAGCUGAAUUUACCCUUAAUUUGCAUUGAAUUUGAACCUCGACACCUGUUUACAUCUUUAAAUGUGAGUAAAAUUGAGUGAAACCACACAGCAGUUUUCAGUCUUUCUCAUUGUUCCUUACCUGGCAAGAAGUAGCUGUGCCUUGAGAGGGUGUUGUUGGAGCAGAUAUCACAAAAAACAGCACCAACUAUCGCGAUCCGAGAGAUGGGUUUUGUUGGAUGAGCCCCAAGGGGAAGUGGGUGAGCAAGCAAAGAUACAAAAACAGCAAGAACAAUCAUCAAAUCCAUGGCAAAAACAUAGGCCAAGACAAGCUUCUACAGAUGCAUCUAUGGGAAUGGUUGGUAAUCAAUGAAGAAGAAGAGCAUCCAAAGAAUUGUAUUAUUAUACUAGUAUACAGAAAGCAUUCUCAGAAGAUAAUGAGCCCGUGAGGAGUUGGUAUUAGGACCAACUGUAAUCAAAGAGCUGAGAAGCUUUAACUAUUUCACAAACAAACAAAGGCAUGUGAAGAGGCCCUUUUGGCCUCUUGUGUGGUUGUAAGUUGUAACCCUGUUGCAGAUUCACGGGUUUGGAGGCUGUGUGUUGAGUACCUAGACAGUGAAGGAAGUUCCCAAGAUUUAAAACAACUCCAUAGAAUGGAAGAUCAGAAUCAUUUGAUGUUGUCCUUUCACCUUUGAGGGUUGUCAAUGCUUUAUGUUCCUCUCUUUGUUUUGUGGUUACAUCCUGAUGGAAUGUUAUAAAUUAAAGGAUUGGAGUCACAAGACAAUGACUUCAUCACAUUUAAUCUCAACCACUAUUAUUUAGAAUGCACCUUUUUUUAACUCAACCCCCUCCCUGUCUAGAAUUUAGCUGUUGUUCGAGGAAGAAUUCAGAAGAUGCAAUAUAAUAGUUCUGCAGCAGAUUGUGUAAGGGAGUGUCCUGAAUAUUUUCACAGGUCAUGUGGGGUUUGCCCUUUAAAGUUUGAAUCAAUGUGUUGGAUGUGCAUAUGACAUGCCUACUCCCAUAACUCACACUCCAUUUCAUGUAAAUAUUGUCUGCUUUAAAUUUAACGGGUCACAAUCCUCUAUAUAGACAUGACACCAGAAGUCAAGCCAUGACACACAAGACAAAUACUGUUUAUAGGAUAGAUAAAGCCCAACGUCAAGUUGUUGGGUUUGGCUUUGAAGUCUACAUUGUACCCAUAGUAAUAUGGAUUCAAAGAGACAAAGACACCUUUCAAGAUCAAAGGAGCCCUACAUCACGGUGCGAUUUUGACUCUAAUAUUAUUUAUAGUGGUUGAUUUUCUUUCAUAUAGAUAUUAUUUAUUCCAGUUUAACGGGUCAUCACGACUUUAAAAUACAUUUACCCAACUAAGAAGAGUAGAAAUCAGAAACUUCUCCUAGUCAUAUGAGAUAUCACAUGCUUGCCUGAUCACCGAAUACCUAACUUGUGUUGUAGCUUGUCUUGACAGUGGAAGUGACGUAUAAAGCAGACAAACAAAAAGAUAAGGUUGAAGGUGUGGUUUUAUACUUUCAUAUGCAUUUCGGUGUCCUGUAUGUCAUGGCUUGACUUCUGGUCCUACACAAAGCCAAGCAUAAUUGAAGUGCCUCUAAAGAAGCAUAUAAGAUAAUUUAGGGCUAUUUACUAGCAAACUAAGCUUAGUAUCAUAAUUGGCCAGGUGAAAAUUUGUGGCUACAUGUCACUACAUGACAAAACAUGGUUAAACCAAGUUCUAUAAAACCAUCUUGAUGUGAGACUCUAAACUAUUGUAAACAAUUUUGAAGUUAUAGUAAAUCACAAAAAUCACUUUUGUACUUUCACUUGUUUUUUAAUUUAAUCUUUAAAUUUUGUUUUUUUUUUUUUAAGUCUAUAGUGUUAAUCUUAAAGGGAUAAUUUCACUCAUCUCUCUUGAGAUUUUAGCUAAAUAUAACUAGUCUCAUUAAUUAGAAAAUUCGUCAAAUACGUUUUUUAUUUUGAAUUAGAGGAAAGGUGAGUGAAAAUAUCAAAUGAGAUAGGGGAGGCAUGUGAUGAAAUUUCAAACCAAUCGGGCUAGGUGUAUUCAACCAAAGCUUCAAGGGAGGUCAAUAAAAUUAACCCAAAUCUUAAACUAUGUCCAAAUUUGGAAUGUGGGAAAAAAAAAUCCAAAGUUAAAUUGUUAAGCAGCAGGGUCGUGAAUGGACUGGGCUCAGGUUUAGAAGCGUGGACCUAGGGUUUUAGGUGCUAGUUGGGCAAACUUGAUACUUCAGGGCCUGAAAGUGGGGCCCAAAUCCCAAGGUCCGAGGUAUGUUAUUCCGACAUAUAGGGAAAGUCGAAAGAGGAGGAAAUGGAUCCAAAUUGGGCUAGGCCUUUCCAUGUUUUGGGCCUCUAGGCCCAAUUUACACCUCCACUUAUAUUUAAGGAGCUAUUUUUUCGGUUUCUUUUUUUUUUUUUUUUUACUUCUCUAAGGGUCUCGAUGAUUAUUUAUGUUCCAAGGUUUUGAUGGAUAUUUUUAUUAGACUUAAAAAUUUGAAAUAAGAGUAAUAUAAUUGCCCUAAUUCGGUUGUUAAACAAAUUUCUAUUAUCAAACACUAAAAGCAAAAUUCAAAGGUAAAAUGCAGCAUUUUAAAAAAAUUGAAUACAACUUUUCUUAUAUUUCUUCUAUUAUUAAAAAAAAAAAAAGUUGAAAUUUUUACUACUCCAUCCUUAAACAAUUCUCCUACCAUUGAGAUAAAAGAAAAUUGUUAAAAAGAAAAAAAAAAACAUCUUUUACAAGCACAGACAUAUAUACAAAAAGUUUAGGUUGAUAAUUGCUUUUAAAAAUAAUUUAAAAAAGAUUUUUAAAAACCAUUUUUUAAUAUUUUGUAAAAUAAAAGUUUGUUGAAUAACCUGAAAUAUUUUUAAAUAUAUUUUAAAAAUAAUUUUUAUAUUUAUAUCUAAUGUUUUAUUUUUAAUCAUUUUUAUGUUUGUAUAAUUAUUUUUGAAAACCACCCUUUAAAAAUCAACUUAAAAUACUUGAAAAAUGCUCUCAAAAAGUAAAAAAUAAUUUUUUGAUUAACAAGUGUUUUUUUUUUUCCUAUAAUAUAAAAUUGUUAUUUAAAACAACCACCUUAAGUGGAUAAAUUUUUUUUUUUCUCUCUUUUUCCUUUCAAUGAAUCCACAUUUUUGUGAUUAAUGUAGGUACAAUUCAGUAAAUGAAAUAUUUUUCUAAGAUAAAAAAAAAAAAAAAAAAUCAAUAUGAAAGUUACACAUGAGUUAUAUUUAUUAUUAUUAUUAUUUAACAUUAAUGCAUGCCCUCAAUUUCAUUAAUUUUAAAUAAUUUAAUUAAAUUACCUAUGGUAGACGUAUUAGUUCGAUCAUUCAUUUAAAUUCUAAGUCUUAACUUUCCUUUUCGCCAGCUUUUAGCUUUGAUUUUAUGAGCCUUUGACAAACUACCACUCAACCUUUCCAUUGACAAGCAAAGAAAAGAACACUCACCACUUUCUUUUCUGUUUCAUUUUUUAAAAUUUCUUGGGUCUAUACAGAGAUGGUGGCUUUGAUUUCAUAAUUAAUACCACAGAAUUACAUUGAAACAGAGAGGAAAAGAAAGUCAUGGAAAGAGAAACAAAAAUGGAGGUAGCUAGCUACCUCACUACUCCUCUUCUUUCCUGAUCAUGAUCAGUAUCAUCAAACCUUUAAGAUCAGAGCCAGAGAGCUCCGGCUUCCUUGAGGAGAGGGACCAGAGUCCCAUUGAUAUGUGAAGCCAUGACACUGUCCAUUGACCCCACGAGCUUCCCCCCGAUGAACACCACAGGCACCGCCGGAGAGUUCCCCAGCAGCCUCAUCAACGCCCGCUCAAUCUCCUUCCCUCUGGGGUCCUGGUCCAGCUCGUACACAGUCGGGUUCACGCCCAUUCCGCAGAAGAGCCUCUUCACGGCAUGGCACAUGCAGCAGGAGCUGAGGCUGAAGAUCACCACCGCAUUCUCCGACGCCAGCCUCGCCACUCGCUCCAGCGGAUCCGCCAUGACUCUCGCCGCCGCUGCCGCUGCCGCUGCCGCCGUAUAGUAUCCCCAAGAUUCGGAGUGGUGGUAGUACAUCUGAACAGCACGGGAGGCGUGGAGAGAAUGGUGGUGGGAAAAGGUAGGUUUAUAGUGCGGGUGUGUCGGGGGCAUUUUGGUGAUUCCACAUUUUGUCUCUUUGUUGUCGCAGCGCGUGCCUUGAUUUUUGCCUUAAAAGGAUGGCUGAAUGCAAAGAAAAGUACAAAAUUAUCAUGAUACAGUGGCUUUAAUGGAAGCAGUAGAAGGCGGCUAUGAGCAAUUGUGUACUCAAGAGAAUACGCACUACAUUAUACACAAAGGGAGAUGAUCGUUAUUUAGAGACAUGGAAAUAAGCUUUUUUUUUUUUUUUCCUAAGGGACAAGUCUGAGGGUUCAGAAGACGGCUGUCUCCGUCCUGUUGUCGGAGGUUGGCCUUUUAUUUUGUGUUUUUUUAUUUAUUUAAAUAUCAUCACCAGCACCAUGAUCAACGGUCAUCCUUCAACGACACUCGUGAUUUGACUUUGACCUCAUAUGGGUACUACAGGUGGACCCGCCAUUUGAAUUAAGAUUAGCCGUAGGUUCUUUAUGCAUCGUGGAAUGAUGGUGUUUGAGAAUGUUUUUAAAAUAAAAAAUCAAUUUGAAAACAUGGAAUACUUUCAAUAUAUUAUAUCUCUUGGAACUAUAUUUUAAAAAUAAGUAACGUUUAUUUUCUAUCAUCCUUCACAUUUAUACAAUUAUUUUUAAAAAUUGUUCAAGUGAAAAUAAUUAAAAAUUAUAAAAUAUGUUCUAAUAAAAUAUCCUAUCUUCAAAAUAAAUUCUUAAAAAAUUGUUUUUAACAAAAAAUUAUAAAACAUAUUCUCUAGUUUUAAAAAUUGUAAAAAAAAAAAAAACGUUUUUUAAUAGAAAUUUAUCAACCAUAUUUUCUUGUCUAAAAAAUAAUUUUUUUGUCUUUGAUAAUAAAAAUUGCUUUUUAAAAGAGUUUCAAACAACCAUAUAAAUUUUAUAUGAUAACUUUUCAAUAACUUAUUGCUUUCAGUGUAAUAUCAAAUUGAUACAUACCAAAAAGCUCAACUAAUAAGAUAUCACACGUACUUUUAAGUGUUAUUGUUUUGUACCAAGUUCAAUCUUAUUACUUCAUAUCUUAAUCAUAUUUUUCUACGUUUUGGUCAAAUUAUUUGUACUUUACCUUAUUCUUUUGUACUUUAGUCUUAUUAUUUGCAUCUUUGUCCAACAAUUUAAAUUUUAUCGUUCCACUUGGAUUACAUAUCCGGUAGAAAGUGAUUCAAUAUUCUAAAGUAUUUAAAUAAGCCUAAUAAAAUAUUUUGAUUUUUAUAUCAUACUAAUUUGAUCUAAAAGCUUUCAUUUCAAUCAUUUUGAUCCUUGAAAAAAUUUGAAGAAAGGAAACAAGAAAGGGAAAAAUGAAAAAUACUAAAAACUAAAAUUCAAACUAAUAAAUUAUUUUUAUAUAUUUUUUUUUAUAAAUUCAUUUUAUUUAGUUUAAAUCUUCUAUAUAAAAAUUAAAUAAUUUGAAAUAAUUAUUUUAUAAUUAAUUUUAAAUUUAAUCUUCUUUCAUAAUCAUGCCCAAUAUAAUAUGAAGGAAUAAUUUAUUUCACCUCCUCUAAGGUUUCAGUUAAUACAUCUAACUCUCAUACUUUUGAAAUUUCAUCAGUCAUUCCCUUAUCCUUUUCCUUUUUUAUUUUCAUUCAUCUUCUCUCUCACUUAAAAUAAAAGAGAUAUAUAAUAAAAUUUAACCAAAAUCCCUCGAAAGGUAAAUGAAAUUAAUGCAAAUAAGAAAAUUAUUUUAUUUAUUUUUUAUUUUCUUAGUAUUUUCUCGACAUAUAAAUGAGAUGAGAGAAAUAAACCAACCAAUCAUUAAAAUUAAAAGAUGGAUGUUAUGUUAAAUUAUUUAAUUUAUUAGCACAAUGAAGAAAUUAUUUAGUGAUAACAGUCUAUUCCUUUAUUAUGAACUUUACUUUUAGAUUUCUAUUUAAAUUUCUCAUCAGCUUUUAAGUGAUUUUGUUACUGCUUAAACUAUCAAUUCAUCAGCCAUUACUAAUAAAUAUCAAAUACUUAGAUUAUGUUGGGUAUUUAAACAAUAUUAAGAAAAAAGGGAAAAAGAUCCUAAAAAUAUAAAUUUUUGUCAUAUUUUCAAACUUCUUAGACUUCGAAUAUUUAAUGUUUAUUUAGACACUUAUUAUUUUCUAAUUUUAAAAUAAAAUAAAAAUAAUACUAAUUUUUAUAUAAGAAAUCAAAACAUUUAAAUGUUUGAAUUGAAAAUAUAAUGGUUUUAAAAUUGUUUAAAAAAUUUUACCAUAUCAAAAUUUUAAGGUUUUUAAAAUAAAUUUUAAGGAUAAAAAUAAAAAUAAGAAGUGCAUAUAGGUGCAAGUAGAGGGGUGGUUGGUAAAGGACACUUUUGGACGGCACUCAGCCUAAGCCUAAUGGGCUUCAAACAUAACUAUGUUGAUAGUAUUGAAAAUUAGUUUAUAUUAAUGGUUCUUAUAAAUUCAGAGAUUUUUUUAAGAAAAAAAGGAGGUAUUGAGGGUUUCUUAGACUCAAACAACUGGCUCUAAUGAAAUUCAUAAAGUUGUAAUUAAUCACUGCCACGAAAAGAAGAGAUCAAUUGUGGUGCAUGUGGGUGGUCAAAUGCCCAAUCCUCUUUUCUUCCAUCUUUUUCCAAACACCAUGUAACAUGCCCUACACUCGAGAAAAAUCGUGUGGUUUAACUUCAUCCAACCAAAUAUAAAGUGCUUCUUAACACCGUCUUUAUUGGCAACCUUCAUAUUAUAAAUAUAAAAAGGAUCAAUUUUUAAAGAAAAAUUUUAAUUGAAUAUGUAGGGCCGAUGUACCCGACUUAUGCUUAAUGUUUUCUAAUUCUACUAGAAAUCUCGUAAGAACCUAUUUUUUUAUAAGUGGAUUUAUGAAAUUAGUUUAUUAAUAGUCUUGGAUCAUAAUCCCUUUUUGACUCUACACCGUUAAUUUCACUAUUAUUAGUGAGCAAAAUAAUAGAAAAAAUUCAUUCAUAUUCAUAAAGAUAGGGAACAUAAUUCAUAUGGAUAUAGUAGGUCUCGUGGAUGGUCUCGAUAGUAGGACACGGAGUUAAAACGAUCAAGUUAUCAACAAAAUUAAUAUGGUUAGUUUAUAUUUAAAUUAAAAUCGAGUCAAUCUUUUAAUAAUGAAAAAAUCAAACCAAACUAAACAAAACCAAGCUUGUUUAAGAUUGAUUUGAUUAAGAUGAUGUUUAUUUUUUUAACUUAAUUUUAAAUAGGACUUUAAUUCUUAAUAAUAUUAAGUAUUAAAUUAUUUGUUUUUUUUUAAUAUUUUAUUUCUAUUGAAUAUUAGAAAGUUAAAAAAAAACCGAUGUAUUACUUUUUUUAUUUAAAAAUUUUGAUUUUUUUCUAUUAAACAAAAAAAAAUAUAAUAAAUAAUAAAAAAAAUAAAAAUAAACAAACUAAAAUUUGAAAACAAAUUAUUUUAAGUAAAAAGUUAAAAAUAAACAAAUCGAUCUUAAGUCUAAUUUAUUUUUAAAAAUAAUCGAUUGUGAAACAAAGAAACCAAAAGCGAAUAAGUAAAAGCAGGUUUUUAAAAUUCUCGAUGUAUAGGUAUUAAAAGAUAAUCGAUAUAGUCAGUUUUUGUUGAAUUGUUUAAAUCUUUCACCUAAAACCCCAACCCCCAUUUAUUAUUUUAUUUUAUUUUUGUUUGGUUGCAAGUGAAAGUCGAUGUGGGAUUGGAGCAAAUCCCAGUACAUUGAGACUCAGAGUUUGUACUGGCUAAAAAGAAGGAAAAGCACAUACACACUUUCUCUGCAUGUUUACCUAAAGUAGUGACAGUGUGGGCAGUUUGAAUGGAAAAAGGGAAUAGGCGUGCACUGUACACAUUCAGAGGAGUCGGGCGGCGGUGUACGGAUACGGCGUAGACCGGCCAAAGACGUGGAGCUUUUUUGCCUUUUUGGAAAUACACAAGUUAAAAUAAAAAAUGAAAAUCCAAAUUCAUAAAAUCUAAACUUAAUAUUUUUUAUUUAUUUAUAGUUUUUGAAAAAUAUCUUUUCACACACGUUUAAAAAAAUAUAUUAAAUUUACAAAAUUUAAUUUAGUACUUUUAUUUAAAAUUUAUUAAAAUUUGAUAUAAAUACUACUUUUAAAUUGAAUACGAAAAGUAUGUAUAUGUAUAUAAAACUCUGUUAUUAAUAUCUUUUAUUAUUUUUAUGAAAUUUAGUCAUAUUUUGUAUAGUUCGAAAAUCUUUUUUAUAAUUUAAUUAUAUUGUAAUAAGAUUAAAGAAAUAAAUAAAUUCAAUCUAAUAUUAAAUAUAUGUUAGGUAAAUUAACUUAAUUUAAGUUAUUAAGUAAAUCAAAUAUGUUUGAUAAAAUAAUUUAAUAGUAUAACUUAAAGUUAAAAAUAAUUUUAAACAAUAAAUAAAAAUAAUUAACUUAUUCUUAAAUCCGUACUUUUAUUUUAUCUUUUUACCCUUAUUUUUCAUAAUUAUCUUCAUAAUCUCUUUUGUUGUUACUUAACUUCUUUUACCUUAAUUAUAAUUUAUAAGGAUAAAUAUAUCAAUUUGAUAAUUUAUAAUAAAUUUUAAAUUAAUUUUAUUAAAAAAUUUUAAUUCUUAAAGUAAAAAAUAAGUUUUAAAUUAAUAACUUAAAUAUAGUUUAACUUAAAAUCAAAUUAAAUAAUCAAGUAAUAAAUAAUAAGUUUUAUCAAAUACUUCAAAGUUUUAUUCAAAAUUAUUAAUGGAUAGCAAAGACUGACUUGAUAUAUAAUAGUGAUUUUAUUAUUAUUAUUAUUAUUAUUAUUAUUAUUGGUACUGUGUUGAGCGUUGGAGGACCAUUUUUCACUUUUUGAAGGGCUUUCUACUGGCUUGUUUGAACCCCAAUUAGCAUGUUUUGUUGUGGAUUUUGGGCCGGUUGAGUUCUUCCUUGGCUGAUAAAGCUGAAAUGGGCAGGUUGAUUAGUUUAAAGUUAAGAUGGGGACUUGUCAAACAAGGGACUUUUUUUUUUUUAAAUAAUAAUUUUAGGUUUUUGCUAAAAUCAAGGGGCUAUUUCUUAGAAUGAAUGUUAUGUUUGGCUUGGAAGAAUUAGAAAUUAGGAGAGAAAACAAAUAAUAAAUUAUUUUUAUUUUUUAAAAUUCAUUUUACUUUCUUAAAGUCGAGAUUAUCUUUAGUUUGGAAGUAUUAGAAAAUAGAAAGAAAAAAAUUUAAAAUUAAGAAGUUAUUUUUGUAGUUUUUAAAAUUUAUUUUAUUGUGGACCCCGCAUUUCGAUGGCUCGAAUGCGUUUCCCACUCGAUGGCGAGCUCGAAUUUUUAUUUGAAAAAAUUGAUUUUUAUUGAUUAAGAAAAUGAUUUGGAGUCACCACUUAUUUUUGUUUUAUUUUUAAAGGGUAAACAAAAUAAGAAAGAAAAACCCUAAGUGUGACUCCUUAUUUUGGAAAAGGUGGUCUAUGAAAAACCGGAUCGGGUUCAGGGGUCAGGUUACUUAUUGGGAAGGUACGGUAAAAGACCGUAGCACCCCUCUAAGUCCCUAAAGUCGGGUCUCUACUAAUGAGAUGAAGCUGACAUGGCAAUCAAUGAGAAAAUCAAUGAAUACUCGAAUCAAUUAUGCACAUAUGAGAGUCAGAAAAUGCAUAUAGACUAACCAGAGUGGGAAUGAGUGUGUACCUGAGCAGCGAGCCACUACGCGCUAUCAAGAGAGAGGGUUAGUGCAAAAUAAAGAGCAUGAACAUAACUCACAUGUCACUAAAUCGAGUACAAAAUCAUUCAAGGCACGCAUGGCACUUCACUCAAAAUUCAUUUUUAUUUUAAAGAAAAUUUAUUUGAUGUUGGGCCCCCACCAAAGCCCAUUUAUUUUGCAUGAACCAAAUCCGUAAAUUCCAUCAUUAGGAAUUACAAAAUUUGAUUCUUGCUUAUUUUAAAACAUUUUAAAAAAAACAAAAGAGAUGUGAAAAUGGCUUGCCAAGAAGAAGAGUGGCAGCAAAAUUUUAUUGGAAAAAUGGAUUUUUGGAAUCUAAGAAAAAACUAAGGAUGAAAAAUGGAUGAGUUUGAAAUUAUUUUAAAACAAACUAAGAUCUAGAAAAUUAUUUGAAGAAAGGGAUUUAAAAGAAUAUUUUUCAAAAUUGGAGAUGGUGAAAUGGGAAAAUGGCACUGUGGCCCAAAGGUGGCCAUGCACCAUGCAGAGAAUAGAGCCAUUCUGGAGGACAACUCAUGCUACUGCCUCUUAUUUCAAUGUAUGGAACCCAAUUUGAAAGGCUAGGUCAAUUUCAGAACUUGCAGUCUUCCAGCUUCUUGACCACUUCUGAAAUUUUAGGGCCAUGAGC